GGGACACAUAAAUUUUUUAAAAUAAUGACAUUUUUGACAUUAUUGCUAAUAUUUAUAAAAUAUGAAUAUUUUUACUAAAUAUGUUAUUUAUUUUGACUAGCUUACUAAUUUUUCCUAAAAAGAAAUCCAGCCCACCUUUAUUUAUUUCUUGCUUCCAGCCCAACUCUAUAUUUUUCCUUUCCCAACUCAAACAAAGCCCCUAUAUCAUCCCAUAUCUAUUUUUGACCUGGCCUUUUUCACUUCUCUUCUUCGUUUGGAAGUCAGCGCGUCAACAGAGUCAAUCGCGUGGGCGACGCGAGGGAGCGCUGAAGGGAACAAGCCGAAGAACGCGCGACACCAGCAGUGCGUGAAGCGUCAAAAAGGAAGCGACAGCAGCCUUUGUGCACGUCUUCUUCCUCCUACGCAAAGGCAUCCUUCUCUAACGUCUCUCUUUUCUACUCUUGUUCGUACAACAGGGCAGGAUAACGUGCAACAAUCGUCCUUGCGCGCUUGGAGAUGAAGCCACAUAGCUCAACAAGGACGCCUGAUCAAAUCUAGUCCUCCGCUCGAUUUUCAUUUAUUCAAUUUGGGGUAAUCGCUUAGGAAUAUCCUUUAGGGGUAAGGAUGGAAGUUUUUGAAUGAUUUUUCUUGAUGGGACUGGAAAUCCAUCUUUCUCCAGCCCUCUUUCCCCAUUUCGUAAACCCAAGUUUUCCUUAUAAAUAUCAUGUUUCUUUAUUUUGAAUAAAAAAAUUGGUGAGGGAAAUUUUCUCUGAUUUUGAUAUCUCUAGGCAGAGAACAGAUUUUUUUUGAGCUCAAAGUUACUUUUUCUCUUCGUAAGGAGAUUUUUUUGAGCUCAAAGUUUAUUUUUCUCUUCUCAUCUUUACGAUUUGAACGAAAAGAAGGAGAGCGGGCAGUGCAUUGAGAGACACAUGUUUAGAGAGUCUAAAAAAGAGGGGAAACACUUGAGAGUAAGGUGACUCGAAACUACGGAUUUUAUUUCACUCCUUCGGUUGAUUUCAUGACCACUUUGCACAUCGGAUAUCCUCGAGAUUUUUCUUGUUUCUUGGUGGAAGGAUUGCUAUCGUCGGCUCGUUGUCUUUAUUCGCUGCAUUAAAAAAGGUAACAGCCUCUCUAAUCAUUCCUUAGUCGCAGUUCCCAAGUGAUGCUCCCUUUUCUCCCUCAGUAUUCCUAUCCUUUUUUAUUGAGUUCAUAGCGUAUCGUUAUACCUCGUUUAUGGUUGUGCUCUGUUUUCUCUGCAGACUGCAAAAAUGAGUUUUUUUUAGUUCGAUUUUUUGUUUAUUUGUUGUUAGGCUCGUCGUUAAUAGUUGGUUCUCUUUAAGGCAGCUCACCAUAUCUUUAUUUCCCUUCAGUCAUUAUUGGAGGAUAGGACUAUAUAUUUGGUAUUGCUAUAACCUAAUGUGAUUGUAUAAAGUUGUUCCCUAUGUUAGGUUGGAUAUAUUUGAAUUAGCUUUGAUUCAAAUUUUAUGUUUCAUAUGUUAUGUUUCUUAUGUUACUGUUUACUUAGUUACUCCGUUAAAUCAUGAAAUAGUUGUUGUUGUUGUUGAGCUGAUCUCACACGAUGCGUUUUGACUCUAUGUUUUUAUCAUCGUAAUCUUUUGGAAAUUGGUAUUUGUAUUUUCGCUUCUUAUGGUGAUUUCCCACAUGUUUAGCUUUUCAUCUCUAUGGGUUCUCUUGAAUUUUCGUGGCUGAUUAUUCUUGUUUCCACUUCAGUUUAUCUUUUGUCGCAUCAAUUCCAUUGUGUCGUCAUUGUGAUGAGGUCGCAGUCAUGCCUUUGUUAUGUGUUUUAAAAGUUUCAAAGUGCAUCAGGCCGUUGUACAUUCGGUUGCAUAUGAAUAGAGUUUUCCUUUAUAAACUUCAAUUCUUGGAAUAUCCUCGUGUGAAUAUUGUUCUUAGUUUGGCCGAACAUAGUAUAUCUCACUGUGUAUUUCUCAAUGCCAGUCGUUAUAAGGUUUUUCGGCCACUAUCAUUGAUUGUUGCAUAAGGCCUUGAACCCCAAAGUUUUAAUGUUCGAUUUGGUUAAAACCAACUUGCUUAGUUCUUGAUCGAUUUGUAUAUAUAUGUGUGUGUUUUUGCUAUAGCAUUGGUGAGUCUUGAUCGAUAGUUAUUCAAUGAAUUCUUGUAGUUUGACUGUUCUAAUUUUCUCAUUUUCUAGCCAAAAUACAUGGUUGUAUGGUAGUUCAUUUAUGCUUUUUUUCAACAUUAUUAAAUAUGCCAAGACGUGCAUUCAUCAUUAAUUGGGGUCUAAAUGAUUAAUUUAAUCAAAAUCAUUUCUCUUAGGUUUAAUUUUGGUUCCGAUGGUCCACAAUAUUUAUCAUGGGUAUGAGUCAUUGUUUAGUUUAGGUUCUUAUUUGUUGUUACUGCUCAACAAUAUUAUUCUCUUUGCAUGCAUUUAUUCAUGCCUAUUUAUGUUAUCCCAGCAUACUAGUUCGAUAAAGGGCUACCAUGUUUAAUUAUUUUUGGUCAUUUGUUAUUGCCUCUACCAUAGAUUAGCUUACAAAAGUGAAAAAGUGAUUCUCCAUGGCUAAUUAGUUAGUUUUAGGUAAUGUAUAAAGGAGGUUUAUAGGGCUUGUAAGUAUGCAAAAUUUUGAUCAAGUUUUUUCCUUUUUCAUCUUAGACCCAUCAGUAAUGAUUUCUUUGUUAGAUCAAUCAUAUUAAGUUAAUUUCCGUCAUUGUUGUUGAAGCGAUUAUUUUGGAGAUGACUUUAUCAGAUGAUAAUCCUUCUUAUUUCUUUUAUUUUUGCAUGUGAAACUCCUUUCGAGUCCAUUUGGAUUUCGUCUCUCCUUCUCGUCCGUAUUUCGGAGGUCCUUAAAGUUUUGAGUUGCCGCAUCGAACCGUCCCUUUUUUUAUGAUGAAUAGAUCUCGAGACCAAAAUCUGAAGCAGAGCUGGAGUUAGAAAAUGGGCCAAAGAGUCCUAUUUUUGUUUCUUUUGGCAUUGUAUAUGGGCAUAAGCCUUUGUCGCUUUUAUUUUAUUGUAUUCAUUUUGUAUUUAUUGUUUAGUCUAGGACAGGUGCAAAAGAAAAUGGGUUGAAAACACGAAAAGUCAUAUGGGGCUAAGAACGCAAAAGUUGGUGGGUUCAAAAUUCGGUCAAAGCGGAUAGAACCCGAGAUUGGACCAAAAAUCUCUCUCCCUCUCUCUUUACAUAUUGCUUACCUAUUUUGAUUGAUUGUCUCUAGUUUUAAGGUUAGAAACUCAAAAAUCCUCGCCAACGCCAUUUUCUAUCGCAUAUUAAAUCACUCAAAAGAAAAUAAUAAAAACUUAAAAUUGAACUUGACAAGUCUCAAUUGAAUAAUAAAAGUCGAUGUUUCCACAAAAACUUUCAUAAAGUUUAUUUCAAAAUUUGAAUUAAACAAAUUUUAGACAAAUAUAGAUUAGUUGUCGUUUAAGCGUUUUAAGCGGAACGUCUUAGGUGCCUAACACCUUCCUAAGAAGUUAAAUAGAAUCCCCGAACCCUUUAAUGGAUUUCAAAUGAUUUCCUCUGUUAAUUGUUUGAAAAUGACUGUUUUCUUAUUUUUCUUUAAAAAAUUAAGUUGCGACUUUUUCAAAAAGCGAGAAUUCUUUAAAAACAAUAAUUUUUUAAUUUUGGAUAAAUAGAAAUGGCGACUCCGCUGGGGAGGUAGGAGUAUUCUAACAUUAAAAAUGACGUUAUUUGGCUAUUUGUGAUAAAUUGUUGAUUUGGUAGUUACUUAAGUUUUGAAUCUGUUGCAUUUCAUGGCAUAUUCAUGCCAAAAGGCAAGUAGUAUGCAUUAGGAAAACGAAAGUUAUGUGGCUUUCCAUGACUUUCUUCAGAAAUGCACAAGAAUUCAUUUGGAAGUAUCAAACAAAUAGUUGGAAUGCGGUCAUCCGACGUUGUUUGGUAGAUUCACCCUGAUGUUUGUUCAGCUCGGGUAACUGUCAACUUUAAAACUGUUCUAGUAAAGCUAAGAUAGAGCAAAACCCAAACCAAAUUAAGCAUUAUCCUAAGACCACUUAACACCUAAGGUGUAUUAAGUUCAUUUAGUAGAAAACUGCCAAAAUCGUUUCUAAGGCUUUGACCUCACGACACAUCAUAUUAUUUGGCAUUUGAAUGAUGUACGUGUGAAGACCUAUUUGGGGUGGGGAAAAGUCUCACUACUUUCUAUUUUGCAUAUAUUAACCGUUUCCCAAAGUUCGACAUGGUCGUCUCAGCGCCACCUCAACUCACGAUGUGGUACAAUAAUUCGUAUGGUAUCAUAAAAGAAUCCUCAAAAAAUACGUGGGUGCAUUAACAGAACUAAUCAACAUGAAUGGUUGGUCGGAGCUGGUUGAGGUACUUACGGGGUAUUAGGAUAGCCAGAGAAUGGUGUUUCAAUUUGGAACCGCCGAAAUUACCCCAACUUUGGAGGAAAUAAGAGACUGUAUAGACAAUGUAGGCACCGGGAUAGAAAGAAGAGCAAGAAAACAAGAAGACUUCUUCAUCCCCAAUAAGCCUUGCGUAAAUGAUAUUGCGGACUUGUUCGGAUUGAGAAAGUACUUUGCCUACUAGUGCCAAGAAUCCCUCGUAGCAUUUAGGGACCUUUAUAUCCGAUUUGGGCAUGCGAGCUUCUACGCCACUUACAAACGAGAGUUAAAAAUCUCCUACACAUAAUGGAACGAGAUUCGUCCUCCUGAAUUUGUUGUUGGCGUUAUUAGGAACAAUGAUCUUCCCUCAUGGUCCUGGUUUGAGUAUCAAUACCCGAGUUAUAACACUCGUCCACACCUUGUUCAAAGGGUUUGAGAACCAAGGGACAAAAAAAUACUACCCUGUAGAUCCGGUCAUCCUAUCCGACAUGUAUCGAGUCUUGGGAAAGUGUAAAUAAGGUCAUCUAUACUUUCAAGGAUGUAACCUACUCCUUCUGUGGGGGAUCCUCAGCCAUUUAGCAAAGGGUGCAGGGACUCAGGAGUUGCAUACUCUCGACAACAAUAAUACCCUUAAGUAUUUAAACUACCUGUUGUACUGGGCAAAUAUGAACAAUCGGAGAACAAGGGGGAGAUGGGCUCAAAUUUUCUCCGAAUUGAGAGAAGAAGACCUCUAAUGGAUGCUCGAAUUUUUCAUCUCCAAAGAAGUCGUCGUGGAGAGCCGCAGACAGGUUGUGCUUCCUUUACAAGGUAUUCGGGGAAUUCGCCCUUAUGCACCAUUUCGAGUCUUGCGACAGUUCAGAAGGACAUAAACUGUACCCAGGGAAGCAUACUAUGGCGCUUAUGUGUACGAUAUUGGAGAUGAUAGAGUGCACGACGCGUAUGAAAUGUUCAAAAAAUGGAAAGGCACCAAGAGUAAGGAUAAAAACACCAUCGCCCCUGACCGAUUCAAUGCAAGAUAUGACAAGGGUUACAAAGAAUGGCUGAAGAAGGACAUACAAAACGUCUCCUUUCAAACUCCGUGUGGCUUUCACAGUUUAACGGAUAGAAAAGCCAAAGUAGUGACCGAGCUACAAGGGAUAAAGGAAGAGGCCAAAGAGGUGUACGCUAAGUUUGUCGAGAACCAAGAUACUUUUGAUAGGGUGACUCAAGAGGUUGCAAGACUAAGGCGUUGUUAUGAUGAUUUUGAUAACUGCAUCAAGGAGAAAAUCGAGAGAAUGCGAUAACGAUAGUCUAGAGGACAAAAGACGCCUGGGUGAAGGUUUCUUGUUGAUGCUAAGAUAUAUGUUUCAGCAACACAAGGCUCAGAGGGACGGCGAUGGAGCAGGAUAAUCGGGAGAGACAUAGUGGACCUCACCUGCAUGGGUUUUAUAUGUAUUUACAUUGUUUUUAGCCCCUACGUGGGCUUGCCUCUAUUGCACUUUCAAAUGUCCCAUGCGUGAGUUUGUCUUUAAUAUUUAUUUCCCCUUUGUGAACAUUAUUAUUCACUUGUAAAAUUUAUUUUUUGGGGAAUUGUUUAUUUGGUUUAAAUUCACUCGUACAUCAUUCAAAUACGCUAGGCCUACCCUUGACACAAAAGGGUCAACCUGUAUGUUUUAGGAAGCGAUAUACGUGUGUUUAACUGCUUAUGUUCUAUGUUGCUAUGAAUUAGGAUACCGUAAACCCACUCCUAGCCAGAAACUUCCAAAGAAUAUACAAAAGCCAGUAUUACAAAAUGUCCGACCAAAAUUCCCAAGUCUCAAGUUUCUAACUCAAAAGACUACCUCCUAUACCACAAAUCCUAAAACAUUACUCUACCGUCUCAGGAAAGGCAAAAUCACUACUAUGGACAAAGUUAAGAACAUCAAGAUGGAGCUCACUGAAGAAGAACAACAAAGAAAGAUUGAAGAGAUCAGUCGGGAAAUUCAUGAAGCCAGGGAGGAGGGGCUCCGAGUCGACAUGGCCACCGCAAUUUACAAUGCUGCAACUGUGAUGUUGGAUGAGGAUCUGGCAUCAUAGAUGAAAUGAAAAAAAGAUGUUGAGACGGAGACAAAGAGUUUGACAGAGAAGUUGGACACACUUCGGUUGAAAAUGCAAGAAAUAGAAGAUAGAGAGGCGAUGAUAGAUUCGGAGACCACUGCUCUGUUAGCUAAAAGUGUGUUACUUUACAAGAAAUUGGCAGUCCACCACAACCUCAAGGGCGGAAAAAGCCCCUCCUAUGAGCAAGGAACAACCAAUAGUGGUCCCGACAACACUCACCCUGAAGUGACUGAGGAGGAUGACGGCGAGGAAAUCGUCUAAAAGCCUCCAUUCCUAGGUUGUCUGAAAGGAGGAGAUUAAUGCUGCAAGAAGAAGGGAAAUGACUAACGUGUCAUCAUAAUUUCAUCUUUUAAAAGAAGACUUUACUGUUGCCUUUGAAUUUCCUUGUAAUCGUAUUGAAUGAAUGAAUGAAAAUUAUUUCAUUGUACUCGAACUACGUUGGGCCUGGAUUCUCCUUGUGAUAUACGUAGGAACCUUCCUAGGCCCAGCCCCUAUCUAUAAAAAAAAUUCAUUCCCCUUCAUGUUAUGAAAAAUACAAAGAUCAGAUCAACAAGACAUCAAGAAACAGCUGCAAGAAGACCGUAGCUCAACGUGAGUUAGCCUUUCUAAGAUAGCAUCAAAGCUAAAAUGAGCAAAUUCCUGCUUGUUAAAAAAAGCAUUCCCGUUCUUACUGGUGGAUCAAAGAUAUCCUCAAACAAAGUAACUUGUGUGUUUAUCUGCUCUCUGUGUGAUAUUAUGCAUCUUGUACUAUGAAUCCGCAUUGACAAAUCUACCUUUGAGUUUUUUCCCUUCUCAGGUACUUUGAAACUGAUCUGUGUUGAUCAAAAGCUUGCUGAUCAUCCUUACUUUACAAGAUCGAAAGGUCCUGUAGAUUCCUUCCCUACAGAAAGUUCCGACAAAGGAAAGGCAGUUAUGGGAGAUAACAACGACGAAGUGAGUCUUACUGACAUUGUAGUUGCUCAGCCCACCGUAGCAGAACAAAAUGAACUGAUCAUGCAGCUGAUGCAACAGGUUGCAGAAAUGAGAGUGGAAAUGCAACGUAGACUGGAUACGCCUCCACCUGGAUUUUCUCCUAAUAUUGCUGAUGGAAGACCUCCGAUCUACUUCCCUUCAUCAAACACAGAUCCAACUCAGAAUAGCCUUCUACACCUAUGCAUAAUCCGUCGGUUAUGAAUCUAAUGACCCAAAAUCCCCAAUACACUUAUGUAUCUUACCAAAAUCCAUCACCUCUCCAAAAUAACCACCUUCAAAUGCCAUCUCAUCCUCAGAAUACUGACCAACAAACCGCUCCACCGCCACAAAAUAAAAACCAAAACCAAAAUCAAACAUCUUUAAACCCUCAAACACCUCAUCACCAUUUAAAUCAAAACACCAAUCCUCAGGCUUACCCAUAGAACUACCAGACCGCUCAAAACAUUCCAAGUCCCUCUAUAGCUCCACCCUUGCAAAAGACAGUCACCUUCUAAGUUCUUGUUCUUGGCAAGAACGAUGUGCACAGUUCUGAGUUGGAUCACUAUGAAGAACAGGAAAGAGAAUGGAAGGCAAAGGAGGAUUCGAAGAUCGAUAUAAAGAAGGAAAUCAAAAGGUCCAUGAAAGAGCUACAGUGCAUCCCAGACAUCGCCGGACUUAGUUACGAAGAUUUGUGCAUCCACCCAGAUUUGAACCUUCUAGAAGGGUUCAAAAUUAUAAAGUUUGACAACUUCGGAGGAGUUUGAAACCCCAUGGCUCAUCUGAGAGCAUGUUGUGACCAGUUGAGAUAGUCAAAAUUGGUGAGACUAUCAAAGACGGUUUGAAAUCGGGGAAGAUAGACCAUGUAUCCGUGACACAUGGAUCUUCAGGAUUGAUGAGGAAGAAGAGAGAAGAAGUUGCCACUGUCUCGUAUGGGGGAAGAAAAAAACCCUGAAACUCGUCGUAUUCCCAAGGUCGUUCCAGGCCUUCCCCAAAGGCCCACCAAGCUUACUACCCGCAAUCCAGUCAUCACAAUAACCAUAAUACUACCCCCACAAAUCCAAACGCUCAAGUUCCGUUGUACCAGAGUUCACCCCUUAAUCUCCAAAGUCUUUCCCCCAUGUACCCAAAUUACCCUCAACCUUACCAAAUUCAAUCCCCUUAUCAGAAUAUUGCACCAAACUGUGCCAAUGUACAGUCGAGCUAUCGAGCACCCCCGCCCAUUUAUCAAGUCCAAGCUCCAAUAUAUCAAAACCCCUCCCGAAUUACCAAGCUCCAUCUCCAAAUUAUAAAACAAACCCAUAUCCUAGAAGCCAAGCUCCUCGUCUGAAUGCCCGAAAUUAUCAGUAGGUGUCUCCCCCUCAGCAAAACGGUUAUGAUCCUUCCCGACCAAGAUUUUAAAAAAGGCCUUCAAGGAACUUUAUUGUACUUAUUGAAUACCGAACCAAACUGUAUGAGAGACUGGCUGCGGCUGGAUACAUCCAUCAUGUGGGGCCCAAGCCCGUGGAUGUCAAUUCAAAGUUCUACAAGCCUGAUCAGAGAUGUGCUUAUAAUUCCAACAGUGUUGGACAUGAUACGGAAUAUUGUAUCAACUUUAAGCACAAAAUUCAGGAUCUGAUCGAUUAGGAGGUAGUUUCUCUCAAACCGGCGACGCCAAAUGUCAACACAAACACGUUGCCGAAUCAUGGAUGUGGCAACAUUAAUGUGAUCGAAACAGAUGAAGACUAGUGUGGAAAAAAGAGGAUUACUUCCAUCAUGCAUGAGGACUUGGAAAGGGCUGUCGCUUCUUUAAGCAUCAAAGAAAGGAGAGUUUUUUAUUUUUACACCUACAAAUGUUGUUGCCUUGGUGUCGUCAGAAACUCUCGUCAAGCCCAAAUUUGUUACUGGAACUGCUGCGGCUCAAGGAAUGACCAUGUCCGGAAGGUGCUACACUCCUGACGAGCUUUCUCUCAGAAGACAGAAGGACCAGGCUAAGUGUCCGAUAAACGAAGGAGAAAUGGAAGAAUUAUGGAGAAGAAUGCAACCGAAGGAUUAUUCCAUCGUCAAACAUUUAGAGAAGACUCCGGCUCAAAUUUCUAUAUGGGCCCUACUGAUGACCUCUCAGUCCACUGCCAGGAUUAAAUAAAAGCUCUCGAUGAUACAUAUGUACCCUCAGAUACAAGUAGUGAUAAUGUGGCUGCCAUGAUUCAUCAGGUUGUUCGAGGGCACCAGAUCAACUUUUGUUACAAUGAUCUGCCUGUCGAAGGAAGAUCACACAAAAAAAGCGCUGCACAUUACCGUGAUAUGCAAUGAAAAGGUUGUCAACCGCAUCUUAGUGGAUGAGGGAUCCGGUUUGAAUAUCUGCCCAUUGUCGACAUUGAGGCAGCUGAGGUUUGACCUUAGGAAACAUGAGCAGAACCAGGUCAACGUGAGAGCUUUUGAUGGGGUUCAAAGAGACACAUUGGGGGCAGUGAAUUUGACCCUUCAAAUGGGCCCCAAAGAGUGCAGCGCGUAAUUUCAUGUAUUGGAUAUAGAUACCAGUUACAACCUUCUUUUAGAAAGUUCAUUCAUCCAUAUGGCUGAAGUCGUCCCCUCUACUCUUUAUCAAAUGAUGAAGCUUGUGUGGAAGAAUGAAGAGUUUGUUAUUCACGGCGAGGGGAGUCACUCGGGCAGGAAGGUGCCGAUUAUUGAUGAGAUACCACAAGGUACAACCUUUUACACGGUGGAACUGGUGAAUGCCACUGAUUAAUAUUUGGCCCCGCAGACCCCCAUGCCAGCCGUAUCCAAGAUGAUAGCCGUUGUGAUGCUCCAAAACAGUUUUGAUCCAGGGUUUAGAUUGGGAAGAGAUUCCCAAGAAAUUAUUGAGCUUGUUUCGGUACUCGUUAAGGGAUCCAGAUAUUGUUUGGGGUAUAUCCCACAGAUGUCGACAUGAAGAUGAAGAUGAAAAAUGAUGAAGCUUUGACUAAGCCGAUCCCACAAUUAUAUAAGUCCUUUCCAAUCCGGGAGUAUGCCGAGCCUGAAUACUUUAGGGAAGGAAUCUGUGACCUCUUCGAGGAGAUCAAUGUUGUUGUCGAGGAGGAGGUCUAGCUAGCUGGUAUUCGUGAUGCUGAAGUAGGGGAGGUGAUGCGGAACUGGACCUCCACGCCGAUCCUAAUACUCCGAACUCUUCGAUAGAAAGGCGUUAUUUCAUGCAUUAAUGUCAGUGGUUGUCCAGAGGAGGCCCGAGACCUACCAUUUUUGCAUUUUUCCUAUCUGUUCAAAUUUUCAAAUUUUCGUUGUGAUGUUCAAAAGGCAACAUGGCCCCAUGCUAUGGCCAAAGUUUGCAUUGUUUUAUUUAUGAAAGCCUCUUUAUUUUAACUUUAUUUAAUUAGUUGUUUGUUAUGCCUUAAUUUCCUAGUUUUAUCUAUUUAUGAUAUUAGUAAUAUAAGUUACAGACCUGCCAAUGUCAUGUCGUGUCACGAGCUAAAUGAACAAAGUGAGGUAGGUGAGGACAAGGUUGACGAUUAUGAUGAAGAAAGUGGGGAACUAGACUAUGUCGCCGAGGAAUUCCGGCAGUUUGAGAAUCAGCAUAAGUCAAAUCUAGAGGAAACAAAAAUGUUGAAUUUGGGAGAUUCAGAAUGUGUUAAAGAGGUUAAGAUCAACACCCACUUAAAUGAGGCUCAGAAGGAGGGCCUGGUUUAUUUGCUUGUCGAAUAUAACGAUGUGUUUGUUUAAAAAGUCGAUGACAUGCAAGGGUUGAGUACCGAUGUUGUAUCUCACAAGCUACCGAUAAACCCAGGGUUCUAUCUGGUGAAGCAAAAAACUCAAAAAUUCAAGCCUGAACUGAGUUUGAAGAUUUAGGAGGAGAUCACCAAGAAAAUAGAGUUCCGGUUGAUGGAAGUAACACAAUAUUCAACCUGGCUGGCCAACAUUGUUCUGAUUGCCAAGAAGGACGGGAAAAUCAGGAUUUUUGUUGACUAUAGAGAUCUCAACAAAGCUAGCCCGAAAGAUAAUUUUUCGUUGCCGAAUAUUCAUAUUUUGAUUGACAACUGUGCCAAGCAUGAGAUGCAGUUAUUUGUGGACUGUUACGGAGGCUAUCACCAAAUUUUGAUGGAUGAAGAAGACAUAGAAAAGACGGAUUUCAUUACACCUUGGGGUGUAUAUCACUAUAGGAUGAUGUCGUUCGUUCUUAAGAAUGCGGUUUCCACCUACAUGAGAGCUAUGACGACCAUUUUCCACGACAUGAUUCAUAAAGAAAAUGAAGUAUACGUGGACGAUGUCAUAAUCAAAUCCUGGGAGAGUUCGGAUAACUUGACACAUCUAAGAAAAUUCUUUGAAUGUUUGCGUCAUUACAACUUGAAGUUAAAUCCCGCCAAAUGUGCUUUUGGAAUUCCAGCUGGGAAGUUGUUGGGAUUUAUAGUCAGCAGAAGGAAUAUCGAGCUCGACCCUUCUAAAAUUAAAGCAAUUCAAGAGUUAUCUCCAUCGAAGACGAGACAAGAGGUGAUGAGUUUCUUAGGGAGUUUAAACUAUAUUAGUUGAUGCAUAGCCCAAUCAACCGUGGUGUGUGAGCCUAUUUUCAAGCUGCCGAAGAAAGACGCCCCGACAAAGUGGACUGAGGAGUUUCAGAUUGCUUUUGAUGCUACCAAGAACUAUUUUUCCAAUCCACCGUUAUUGGUUCCUCCACGAGAAGAGAGUCCUUUGUUGCUAUAAUUUUCUGUCGCAAAUAGUGCAUUCGGAUGCGUACUCGGUCAACAUGACGAAACAAGAAAGAAGGAAAGGGAUAUCUAUUAUAUAAGAAAGAAGUUUACUCCAUACGAGUCUCGUUAAACCUUGUUGGAGAGAACAUGUUGUGCUUUGACGUGACUUGCCUAGAAGUUGAGACACUAUUUGUCUUCGUAUACUACAUAUCUCAUUUCCAGAAUGAAUCCAUUAAAGUACAUUUUCCAGAAAGCUGCCCCAAGCAUCCGGUUACCUUUGCGGAUCUCCGCCGCCUACUUUUGCGCUAUUGUUACUUACGACGACUGAGCGAUCUUCACUUUAUGCAAAGUUCCACUUCUUCCUUCGCUUCUUCUACUAGUUCAACUACGUCGGACGCGCAAAGCAUUAUCUGAGAAAAGCAUAGAAACAAUUCCCUCAUCCCGACUCAGCUUCUCUCUCCGAUACAGGAAAUCUAACAGAAAAAAACUUUUCUGGGGACGCGCUGUUCAAGUCGAGUUUCCUUAUUUUCCCUUCCAAGACAUCCAUUCUAACUUCCUUAUUUCCAAAGGAAGAAAGAAAGGUCGAAAGCUCUCUUUCAAGAGCCUCUUUGUUGGGCUCGGCGGCCCCAAUUGCAAGGCUAGAUCCAGAUCCCCCAUAGCCUGUUCAGCAUGAGGAAUGGCUGGCAGAGCAUCAGGAUUUCCUUGAUUCAUUCUCAAGAUCUCAGGCCCCCUACCAACUGGAUGCCCGGUGCCCACCAAAGCACAGACUCUACUCACCCACUACUGGACUAGUCUACGGGCUGGUAAGACUAUUCCACUACAGAUUGAUGGACUUACUAAUUUGCUGACUGAUUCAAGGAGUUAAGACUGGCGGUUCGGUGAUCGAGCGAAGGCUUGGUUCCUCCCUCGCUGUACCGAGGGAAGCCUUUAGAAAGAGUUCUGUUGCUACCAACUUCUUUCUUUGUAGUCUAGUAGAUCUACAUGCUCUAGUGGAUCUAAAGUAGGUUUAUGUUCAGCAACAGAAAGAGGUGAGGUUCUGCUUUCUUACCUGAGAAUAUUUACAAGGGGGAAGCCUUGAAAGGCAUACGAGUGCGCCUCUCGUAGACGAAUACCGACUCAGUCCGCUCCUACUGCGGGAAGUCUCAGCCGGUCUCGGGAGAGAUACGAUCGGGAGGAGCUAAUUCAACCCCUCCGGUAAAAUAAGAACAAGCCCCCACGUUCAAACCCCCUUUUUUACCAUUAGCAAGAACUUGUUUCAGUUGCAUAUCAUAAGGAAUUCCGAGUUGGCCACGGGGUAACAGCCUCUGACGCCCCACACCAUUGCGACAGGAGGGGGCUUUCCCAUCAGCCUACUUUGCCAAGAGGUGGCAGGAGCGCCAGGUUCUUUUAUCAAUCUCCUGGCCCUUGCUUAACUCCUUGUUCCGUAAACCGGUCGCUGGUAGAUGUUAUCUCGAUUAAUCGCCUUUUGCGCAUGCAUAAAGAUGUCUCCUUGUUUUAUAUGUCACUCGAUGACUUGAGUAGGACCGGGCGUCGACCCUACCUUAUGAGUAUUCGGACUAUAACAGUUCUGAUGAACAGUCACUUUCACUUAAAAAAAAGAUUGAGAGGUUUAAAUCUCCCAAUCCAAUAUUCUGGACAUGGCUUAAGGAAGCGAAUGACUCGAGUUCAAGUAGAUCGGCUAAGCUGGCAAGAGAGAUGGAAAGAGCGGAUCAAUCUCCUGCAUCCCGAAUGCCUGAGUGGCAAAGGAAAGUGAGACCUUACCUUUUUUCUAGGCCUGUUCGGACAUACGGUUCCCGCGGAAGAUCAAGUUGGUGAGCCGCUCUUUUAGUUGUUGGAUGCGCAAAACAACCUAUUCCCCUUUACGACGACUCGGUGACCUUUGACACGUUACACCUGGUUGCACGUAGUCUUGACUUUCGCCCUUCACUCGUGCAGUUGGACUAACUAGUGACUUUAAAUUCAACCUUGAGACCGAGCCCUGCCUCCUUGCAUACUAAGAUUAUUCUUAUCCGUGCUUUCUUUCGUGGAAGUCUCACCUAUCAAGGAAGUAUGGCAAAGAUAGUUUAUCCCUGCGGGGAGGACCUCAGCUCAGUACGCAUAGAAGUACAGUCUACAUUCCAGCUAAGCGAGUGAAUUUCAAGCCAGGGAAACUUCCUAUUAGGAAUGGCUUCCUUUCAGGUUGUGUUGUUACAGACCAGACUAUUCUAACAGGGCAAGGGAGACGGAUAACUAAUCUAAUACAGUACAGCUAUGAUCGGGCAAUAGCGCAGAUAAGAUCAGACUGAAUGUGUGAAGGGAAUUGAAAAACGCAGGAAUCGACUUGUUUUGCGUUAAUGGGGCUUUGAGGGACGUCUUCUCUUUCCCUUAUCAAGCAAGUCACACCUAAUCGCCCUUGAUGGAAUAGUCUCACCAGCCCGUAGACUAGUCCAGUAGUGGGUGAGUAGAGUCUGUGCUUUUGUGGGCACCAGGCAUCCAGUAAGAAGAAGUGGCGGAGGAAAGACUCCGUUGAUUACUCCGAUGAUCGUGACCUUCAAACCCCGGUGCCGGUGGAACAUCCACGUUAGCUUCCGUUGCAGAAGAUCGCAAAUGAUUGACCCAUCAUAUCAUCCGAAGAAACAGAAAAUACCAAAAAGUUCGAAUUCACAGCUAAUAACAUUGAUUCAAUUGGCAUUGACAUAAUAGGAAUAUUUCGUCUAUUAAGGAGGAUUCCCCGAAUACCUGAAAUAGAGAUAAUCAUAGAAAAUGUGAAAUAUUUGAUAGGAUCCAUUUAGGGAAUUAAAAGGGAAUGUGAUCCCCUUUAUUGUAAUGAAAUAAUUGAAGUUCAUUUAUUCUUUUCAGGAGAGCUUUUGCAAAACCCCCCAUUGCCUCAUCUAGCCAAGGGGGAAAUAAGGUUGUCAAACAUAGUAUCGGAAGGGGUUGUCUUUUGCCACCUCAUGUGCCAAAGUAAAACGGUUGUUCUUCCUUCUCCGCUCCUUCUUUUUCUACAUAUGCGGCGGCGUGUUACCAGAGAAGGGGGGGUAGUCGCAGCAGGAGAAGCACCCCUAAACCCCUGAGAUCACUCGACCCUGACCGGUCAAUCUCCUGUCAUUGCUAUCUCGUGCGCGAAGGGUUGCUCAUGCUUCCCAAAUGUCACGCAUUUUUUAGGUCAUUAGUCAACAGCUCCCUGGACAGUCAUCCCCGAGGAAAGAAUGAGUCUUCGGCGAGCCGGUACCCACUACCUGUUCCAGAAACCUCUUUUUCAUAGCUCAUAGCCGCAUAUCAGCUACGCUCAAUGCGGGAUUUCUGUUGGAUCAGAUCUUUUGGGAAGCUUUUGGACCUAGCGAAAAGGGCUCUAAGCUUGGGGAGGGGGAGGGGCGUACGGACCACUCCAUUCGAAGUCUCACAAAUGUUGCACCCUGGCAGCAAAGCGAACCACCGGAACUAAAGUCACGAUUGCAGGCCUCAAACUUAAACAGGAACUGGCCUGGAACUAUAUGUAAGGGCACUCUCAUCCACUGGCUGCAAGGAAACAACUGGAUUGGCUUUUCUAACUCUCUUUAAAAGAGACUGCUUUCAAAUUCACUUGCCCUAGAACCUGCUUUUUUUUAUAUUGAUCUAGAAUCAGCUAUUCCUAGUUUCAUGGCAAGCUUACUGAGUAUCCACCACAUCCCUUUCCAAAGAUUCAUUCUGAUUGGUUUUUUCUUAUUCCAUUCCUUUCGACUCACAAUCACAAUAGCCAUACAGUCGAAUAGUUGAGUUAGACGAGGGAUAACGGUCAAACUAUCAAAGAGGUCCGCUACCAAGAAUUAGGAGUUAUAACAUUCAUAAAAGAAUGAAAAAACCAAUGUAGGAGUUCGUGAAGAGGGCUGGACGAGUGGAAUGAGGGAAAGUGGCUCGAUCGACAAAAAAAAGAGUAGCCUCCCUAGAACCUGGCAAAGUCAUUAUCAAUGAAUUCCCGAGCAAUUCUCAACCAACAUAUGCGAUUCAUUCCCGUAAAGAUUAUAACACACAAGAAGACCCCUUACCGCUCCGUGGGGAGCGGGAUGAGUGAUACAUCUGGCAAGCGCCGGUGAAGAACGCAAGCAAGGUUGGAUCUCGGGUAUUGAUAUAUUCCAUCAAGAGAAAGGAGGCAGACUGGUAAGAUGUGAGGCCUAGGUCAAGGCAGGAAGUUAAUGUGUGACUUCCCCCGUAGUUGGGGGUGGGGGUUAAGCGUCCGAUUCGACAAUGAACACUAAAUGAAAGAGGCAAAUCCAUUUUCUCACCCGCCUACGAUUGAUUGGAGCGAUGCGAAUCUAUGCUUUCUAUCUUUCAAUAGGAUACCAAUUGCUUGGAUGCGUUUGAAAGCCUCGAGAUGACAUGCAGAAAAAAUGCUUUCAUAAAAGAACGCAGUAGCGAGGGACAACCCGCCCAUACAGCCAGCGGGGAGGAUGGCACUACUGGCAAAGACCGUCUAGCGAAAACGCCGCAUGCGCGAAGCGUGGUAGGCCUGCACCGGGGGAGCAUACCAUAGGGAGGAAAGGGAGCCCGGACAGUGGAAGAGCCAGGGGAGGCCGGGUCAUAGGAUCCCUAUUCAAGAUCACUGCAGUUCCUUUUUGGGCGGCUGUAGGACGGCCGCCCUGCCAGAGAGCUGUCAUUAGAAGACUGAGACCCACAGCACCAAGAAAGCUGGACGACAUAGUACUGAAAUGACUUUCAACGAAAGAUUGCCUUUGCCAACUAUUCUAGUUGAUAUUUGUGGAGUAUGAAAUCACUUACAUUGACUCUCCUUUAGGAUAGGAUCCUCCUUGGUCUUACAUAACAAUAACACAACACUCAUAACAAUAACACAACACUCUCGGCCAAAUUGUCUUUCCCGAGCCCGAGAGAGGCCACCUUCUUUCAGUCUCAGGCCAUCUUCUACUCUUCUACUUCAGUCUCUAGUCUGACUCGAAGUAUUUGUCAAAAUACAUAUGAAAUAGUGUUUCUAUUUUACGAAAUGGACCCAAAUAGUCAGAAAGUGAAGCGAUUUCCGCUUCGCUUUUUGUAUCAAUGUCCAAUUCUGUAAUAGAAAAAUGUUGCGCAAAAUAUUGGAAAUCUUCCUUGUUUUUGGCCAACUAGAAAAAAGACAUCUUCCCUGCUCAUCAACUUCACGCCGCCAUUCGUUUUCUACCGAGGUCGGGGUUUUCUUGAAGACAAAUCCAUCAUUGAAAUCCUCGGCGCGGAAUAUAAUCCUAAAGUACUCCAAAGACUCAAAUAUAGUAAAUCAAGAAGGUGGUAAGACCCUUGCAGAGUUCCCCAACAGCAUAGAGCUUGGGAAGCUCGGAUCCGGUCAAGAUCCGAACAACAAUGAGCACUCAACUACUAGUAAAAGGGGAGAAAGUUGACUUUGAGAUGAGAAAGAAAAGAAGGUGCUUCUUGACAGGGAGCUAGUCAGCUUGCUGUAGUUGCUACGGUAAACUGGAGUGAAACGAGUUGGCAGUAGAGACCAUAGGAAGGAGCCACACCUGCGAUCUUUCAUCAAAGAAGCAUGCGUUCUAAUGAGGGAAUCAAGAUGCUCAACCAGAGUAGAUAGGCGAACAGCAGGAAACUCAGAUUGUACACUAUUUACGACACUACAUCUUUAAUGGAACUUUAGCCUUAGCUGGUCGUGACCAAGAAAGCACUGGUUUCGCUUGGUGGGCCGGGAAUGCCCGACAACUCAAUUUAUCCGGUAAACUACUAGGGGCUCAUGUAGCCCAUGCUGGAUUAAUCGUAUUCUGGGCCAGAGCAAUGAACCUAUUUGAAGUGGCCUACGAAGUCACUCGACUGAAAGGAGAGGAAGAAAAACCAACGUUUUGGAUUUUGGAGUUUUCGCCCCAACCUAGGUUAGGGGGUCGUUAGACCGUAGCUUGCUGCUGAAAAACGUUGCUUGGCUAGCGCGACUCGCUUCCUCUUCAAUCUCCGCCACCUUACUCAACCUCAACAUCUAUAAAAAAGCCCUUUCUCCUUUUCUAAAUAAGGUAAGCUUUGAAGCCGUAGCUUGCUGGUUUUUCCAUCAUCCAAUCCACAACAAAUCGAAUGAAACCUGGCAAAAAAGAAGUGUUCGAUGCUUACCGUAAAGUUAGCUAAAUGGAAAAUGCUGUUGAGGAAGUUUGAUAUCGUGUAUGUGACUCAGAAGUCAAUAAAGGCAAAGCAUUUGGGUGAUUAUCUUGCAGAAAAACCCGUUGAUGAGGAAUAUAAACCACUUAAGACUUAUUUUAACGAUGAAGAAGUGUCGUUUGUGGGCGAGGAUAUUAUUGAAGCAUAUCAAGGUUGGAGAUUAUUCUUUGACGGAGCGGCAAAUCAUCAAGGUAAAGGUAUUGGAGCAGUCUUAGUGUCAAAAUCUUGUCAGUCCUAUCCCAUGGCGCUAAACUUUGGUUUAAUUGCACCAAUAAUAUGGCCGAAUACGAAGCUUGUAUUCUUGGUUUGAAAAUGGCCAUCGACAUGAAUGUCUAUGAGUCACUGGUUAUUUGAGACUCAGAUCUUUUGAUUCAUCAAGUUCAAGGAAAAUGGGCUGUGAAGAACCCAAAGAUUAUACCUUACGUACAACAUGUGCAGAAGUUGUGCAAAAGAUUUCGUAAGAUUGAGUUUAGACAUACUCCAAGAAUACAAAAUGAAUUAGUUGAUGCUCUGGCCACCAUCACUUUGAUGAUUAAACAUCCGGAUACAGAUUACAUUGAUUCUCUGGAUAUAUAGUUGAAAGAACAUCCAGUUCGUUGUUCCCAUGUUGAAGCAGAACCAGAUGGUUUGCCUUGGUAUUUUGAUAUAAAGAAGUAUUUAUAUUCUUGAACUUAUCCCGAAGAUGCUACGUCCAAUCAGAAGAAGUCGAUACGCUGUAUGGCUCUCAAUUUCUUUCUAAGUGGAGAAGUCUAGUAUAGGAGGACUCAAGACUUAGGUCUUCAGAGAUAUGUGGAUGCCGUUGAAGCUGUAAAAGCUUAUUGAACAGAUACAUGCCGGAGUUUGUGGCACACAUAUGAAUGGACUCACUUUGUUAAGAAAGAUCCUACGAGCUGGAUAUUUCUGGAUGACUAUGGAGAAUGAUUGUUGCAAGUUUGUGUAGAAAUGUCAUAAAUGUCAGGUGCACGGUGAUUUGAUACGAGUGCCACCUCACGAGCUUAAUGAUAUGAGUUCACCUUGGCCAUUUGUAGCUUGGGGAAUGGAUGUCAUAGGUCCGAUAGAGCCAGCCGCUUCUAAUGGACACUGAUUCAUUUUGGUUGCCCCAUUGAUUAUAUCACCAAGUGGGUGGAAGCAGCUUCUUACAAGUCGGUAACCAGGAAAGUUUUGUUCAUAACAAUCUGAUAUGUAGAUUUGGAGGGCUAGAAUCCAUUAUUACUGAUAAUGGGGCAAAUCUCAAUAGUCACUUUAUGAGAGAUAUAUAGGAGAAAUUUAAGAUUACUCAUCGAAAUUCAACUGCUUAUCGUCCCCAAAUGAAUGGAGCUGUAGAGGCCGCCAAUAAGAAUAUCAAAAAUAUUUUGAGGAAAAUUAUUGACAAGCAUCGAGGUUGGCAUGAGAUGUUACCAUAUGCUUUAUUGGGAUACUGCACGACCGUCAGAACAUCAAUUAGAGCCACUCCAUAUUUGCUAGUAUACGGAACGGAAGCAGUUAUACCUGCUGAGGUCGAGAUAUAGUCUUUGAGAAUCAUCCAAGAAGUUGAAUUGUGUAACGCUGAAUGGGUAAGCAAACGGAUUGAUCAACUAACUUUGAUUGAUUAGAAAAUAAUGGUUGCCAUCUAGCAUUGUCAAUUGUAUAGGCAGAGGAUGGUUCGUGCCUUUCACAAGAGAGUAAGAGCCAGAAAUUUUGAGGUUGGUCAGUUGGUUCUUAAGCGCAUUUUUCCUCAUCAAGACGAGUACAAAGGAAAGUUUGCACCAAACAAGCAAGGUCCUUACAUGGUUCGCAAAGUAUUAUCUGGAGGUGCUUUGGCCUAUCAGAGAUGGAUGGAACUGUAUGACCCAAACCUAUCAACUCAGAUGCUGUCAAUAUAUACUACGUGUGAAGCCUCAGUUUGCAUUCCUAUUAUUUACUUGUAAUCGUUUGGUUUGCUUUUAUUUGUUUUUCUUAAAAUAUUAUCCCUUUGUAAUGAAUUAUGUCUGACCGGAAUUCUCAAGAAUGAGAUACGUAGGCAGCGUAUGUCGGCUUCGGUCACCCCACUUAUCCCCUUUAAAUAUUUCUUUGUAUUUGAACUAUGUUCGACCUGAAUUCUUAAGAAUGAGAUAUGUAGGCGGCCUAUGAUGACUUCGGUCGAUUUCUUUGUAAAUUUCUCUUUUGUUAACAUUUAAGGGGAACUACGUUUGACCUCAUUCCUGCCUCAACGGAAUAUGUAGGCACCACAAGGGUUCGGUCAUAUCUCCCGGAAGAUUUUUAUUCUUCUUUACAGUAGAAAUGGGACAGAAUUUUUGAGAGGGACUUAAAAAUUCUCCAGAAGAAGUUUCCUCCUCAGCAAGUCAAACCAAAGAUAUUUCGAGAUUUGCAACUAGGACAGAAUUUUUGAGAAGAUCUCCAAAAUUGCGCGGUCUCUUCAGUUACACUAGAAGGAUAAGCAAGACAGUUAACUCGAACAGAAAUUUUGAGGAUGGCCUCAAAAAUUCUUUAUGGGUUUCAUCUACAAGUCCGGAGUGACUCUGAAAACUCAUCAGGGAAUGAUCAGAUAGACCUCUAAGUGUUAGACUCAAAAAAGUUUGUUAUGUCUGAUAUGACAUGACUUGGUAGUGACCUUUUCAAGAUACUAUUUCUUAAUAAUUAAUUUCUCUUAAAUUUUUCCUUUGAGUUUCAUUUGUUUUGGCAUAAAAUAUUUUGUAUUAUCUAUCGAGAGUCGGGAUAUCGGGAAAUCAACCGGAGAUAUCAAGAGAAUGAGAAAACAACUGAAGAAAUCGACACAGAUCAGUACGUUUUUAAAACUAACAAUUUUUCUGUGGACGCGGGUUUAUAGCUUUGCUUUGAAAUUGGAAAAUUCUUCUGAUGAAUGAAUACGGAGAACUCCAAAGAGAAGAAAACUAUCCCAAAAUCAAUGGCUUUCCCAGAAGAAAAAGGCAUUUUACAUCACUUUUGUCGAAGACUUGGGAAUAUGAAUUGUUUAUUUCAAUCAAAUUCCAACAACAUUAUAUGUACAAAGAACGUCUAGCCAGAUUCAAAGGUGAAUCAAAUAGGAAUCUCAAGGGAGAGUUUACGGUUUCCGUAAAGGACGCUAUUUGCAUCGCAUUAUCAAACAAGAUAGUUAUUGUCAAUGAAGACUAUGCAUUACACUAGAGGGGACAUUUAUUUUAUUGUCGAUCAAGGCAAUGUAUUAUCUGGAGGUCAUCUUGCCGUUAUCAUCAACAGAGACGAUAUGAAUAUUCAUGCAUUGUGAGUUAAAACUCCAUGCAUCGCAGAAAAUCAUGCAUCGCUAGUCAAUAUCCAUGCAUCACAGAAAGUCAUGCAUUGCGAGUCAAUAUCGAUGCAUCGCAUAAAAUCAUGCAUCACUUGUCAAAAAUUGAUGCAUCGCGGAGAAUCAUGCAUUGCGAGUUAAUAUCUAAACAUCGCCGGAAGAUAUUUAUACCUAGCAAGAAAUUGUGCAUCACGAGAAGAUUUCAUGCCUCGUCGAAACUUAAGCAUUGCGAGAAGAUCUCAUACCUUGCGGAAAUUUAUGCAUCACGAGAAGAUACCAUACCUCGUCAAAAUUUAUACAUCGCGAGAAGAUUUCAUACCUCGCUGAAAUUUAUGCAUCAUGAGAAGAAUUUGUGCCUCGUUUAAAUUUAGGCAUCACGAGAACAUUUCACUUCUCGCCGAAGUUAUGCAUUGCGAGAAGAUUUCAUACCUCGCAGAAAUUUACGUAUCACGGGAAGAUAUUCAUGCGCCGCAAAAAGCCAUGCAUAGUUGAAGAAAGGAUAUCGUGCAUCGCCAAGAGAAAUAUUUAUCCAUCGGCAUCACAUGAAUUCUUUUGUUUUGAUAAAAGUUAACAUCAAGAAGAGCAUCGAGGAUAACGUCAAAAGAAAUAUCGGCAUCGCAUCAGCAUUUAUUUAUUUAUUUCGACAUCAAGUAAAGAUCGCAUUGGAGAAUACAGUGCGAACACCAGGCAUAAUCUUUAUUUGCUUUACGUCAUACCAAUUGAGUUGACGUCGAAUAUUGAAGAGAAUGAUGGAGUGUCGACAUGGUAAAAAUACAUUGUCUCCCAUCCUAAUCGCAUUUUUAAGCUAACGAGUUUUUAUCUCAGUCUUUGUAGAGAGCAUCCAAAAGGAUGAAUUCUCCAAAAACCAUAGCUGCGGAAGACGUCAAAAAGGACGCAGCACAACAUGGAACUUUUCUUAGCAGCGAACUGCGACACAGUCCAAAGAGAAAUGUCAAACUCUUAGGACGCGAGCAGAAGAGUGGCUUUCACCACAAUCAAACCACACCCCCUAUCAGAAGGCAUGUGGGUUUCCCUUUGAGCUUCUUUUGUUUCUCUCUUGAAUCUUAUUCUCGAGCAUUUCGGUACCUUCAUAAUUCGGUAUCAAAGUGGCUUUUGAUUUCUUUCAAAAAUCGUGCGUUAAAUAAAGUCUAAUCGAACUACAAGUGGCCUGAAUUCUCAUAUAGCUUAAGAUAUGUAGGAAACCUGUAUCUAGGGUUCGACCAUAAUUUCCGAAAUCCAUAUUAAAUAUUGUCGAAAAGAUGAAUUUGUGGUCGGUCAAAAUCAGAUUAGUCAAUUUCAUUUUCCUUGGAUUGCUCGCACCAAUCCUAGUAAAAUCAAAGUUUCUUUUUCUCUUCUCAUCAUUACGAUUUGAAUGAAAAGAAGGAGAGCGAGAAGUGCAUUGAGAGAGACAUGUUUAGAGAGUCUUCAAAAGAGGGGAAACACUUUAGAGUAAUGUGACAGGAAACUACGGAUUUUAUUUCACUCAUUCGGUUGAUUUCACGACCGCUUUGCACAUCGGAUAUCCUCAAGAGUUUCUUGUUUCGUGGUGGAAGGAUGGCUAUCCUCGGCUCGUUAUCUUCAUUUGCUGCAUUAAAAAAGGUAAGAUUCUCUCUACUCAUUCGUUAGUCAUAGUUCCCAAGUGAUGCUCCCUUUUCUCCCUCUGUAUUCCUAUCCUUGUUUAUUGAGUUCAUAGCGUAUCGUUAUACCUCAUUUAUGGUUGUUCUCUGUUUGCUCUGCUGACUGCUAAAAUGAGUUUUUUUUAGUUCGAUUUUUUGUUUAUUCAUUGUUAGGCUCGUCGUUAACCUUUAAAUCUCUUUAAGGCAGCGCACCAUCUCCUUAUUGCCCUUUAGUCAUUGUUGGAGGAUAGGAGUAUAUAUUUGGUGUUGCUAUAGCCUAAUGUUAUUGUAUAAAGUUGUUUGCUAUGUGAGGUUGGAUUUAUUUUAAUUAGUUUUUGAUUCAAAUUUUGUGUUUCAUAUGUUACUGUUUACUUAGUUACUUCGUAAAAUCAUGAAAUAGUUGUUGUUGUUGUUGAGCUGAUCUCACACGAUGCGUUUUGACUGUAUGUUUUUAUCAUCGUAAUCUUUUGUAAACUGGUAUUUGUAUUUUCGCUUCUUAAGGUGAUUUCCCACAUGUUUAGCUUUUUAUCGCUAUGGGUUCUCUUGAUUUUCGCGGCUUAUUAUGCUUGUUUAAACUUAGGUUUAUCUUUUGUCGCAUCAACACCGUUGUGUCGUCAUUCUGAUGAGGUCGCAGUCAUGCUCUUGUUAUGUGUUUUAAAAGUGUCGAACUGCAUCAGGCCGCUGUACAUUCGGUUGCCUAUGAAUAGAGUUUUCCUUUAUAAACUUCAAUUCUUGCAAUAUCCUCGUGUGAAUAUUGUUCUUAGUUUGGCCCAACUAAGUAUGUGUCACUGUGUAUUUCUCAAUGCAAGCCGUUAUAAGGUAUUUCGGCCACUAUCAUUUAUUGUUGCAAAAGGCCUUGAACCCCCAAGUUUUAGUGUUCGAUUUGGUUAAAACCAGAUGGCUUAUUUCUUCAUUGAUUUGAAUAAAUAUAUGUGCGUUUUUGCAUUAGCUUUGGUGAGUCUUGAUCGAUAGCUAUUCAAUGAAUUCUUGUAGUUUGACUGUUCUAAUUUUCUAUCCAAAAUUCAUGGUCAUAUGGUAGUUCAUUUAUGCUUCUUUGCAGCAUUAUUAAAUAUGCCAAGACGUGCAUUCAUCAUUAAUUGGGGUCUAAAUGAUUAAUUUAAUCAAAAGCAUUUCUCUUAGCUUUAAUUUUGGUUCCGAUGGUCCGCAAUAUUUAUCAUGGAUAUGAGUCAUGGUUUAGUUUAGUCUCUUACUUGUUGUUACUGCUCAACAAUAUUAUUCUCUUUUCAUGCAUUUAUUCAUGCCUAUUUAUGUUAUGCCCAGCAUACUAGUUUGAGAAAGGGCUACCAUGCUUAAUUAUUUUUGGUCAUUUGUUAUUGCCUCUACCAUAGAUUAGCUUACAAAAGCGAAAGAGUGAUUCUCCAUGGCCAAUUAGUUAGUUUUAGGUAAUGUAUAAAAGAGGUUUACCGGGCUUGUGAGUAUGCAAAAUUUUGAUAAAGUGUUUUCCUUUUUCAUCUUAGACCCAUCAGUAAUGAUUUCUUUGUUAGAUCUAGCAUAUUAAAUUAAUUUCCUUCAUUGUUGUUGAAGCGAUUAUUUUGGAGAUGACUUUAUCGGAUGAUAAUCCUUCUUAUUUCUUUUUUUGUUGCAUGUGAAACUCCUUUUGAGUCCAUUUGGAUUUCGUCUCUCCUUCUCGUCCGUAUUUCGGAGGUCCUUAAAGUUUCGAGUUGCCGCAUCGAACCGUCCCUUUUUUUUAUGAUGGAUAGAUCUCGAGACCAAAAUUUGAAGCAGAGCUGGAGUUAGAAUAUGGGCCAAAGAGUCCUAUUUUUGUUUCUUUUGGCGUUGUAUAUGGGCAUAAGCCUUUGUCGCUUUUAUUUUAUUGUAUUCAUUUUGUAUUUAUUGUUUAGUCUAGGACAGGUGCGAAAGAAAAUGGG
rnacentral:lncRNA from 1 species